AAUUGUUAAAUUGACCCAAGCAUUUACAAACUGACCCACCCAUCAUCACUUAUAGAGGAUCCAACUAUUUUUUCAUUGAUUUUUGGUCAAUGCAGAUCCAACAGUGGAGAUUUUUUUUGUUGAUGAUAGACAAGAUGGGUGGGUCAAUUUAACAAUUCUAUAUAUAUAUAUAUAUAUAUAUAUAUAUUAUAUUCAUAAAAUGGUAUUUAUGAUAGUAUGUAUACAUCAUUAAUGAUAGAAUAGCAGCCAUUACAUGAGCCAAAAUGUAAUGAACGUUGAGGUGACGUGGCACAGUGUGGGUGUGCGCGUGAUGAUGGAAAGGGUCGAAAUGUACGAACCAGAUCCAAGCACGUGUCGACCUGAGAUAGAGCACACUAUCUCGGCAGAAUGACAUGCUGGAUGUCAGAUGUGCCACAUGGCCCACGUGGCCGCUGACUGGUCGCCACAUAGGAUCAUUAAUUUAGGGUUCCAAUCAAAUCACCACGUGCUUGCCGUCCAGGACUGCGUCGUCCUCGCCGACGUGGCACUUAGAAUCUGGACAUACUGUGGACCGAGCUGUGGGUGUGGAUCUUCUUUGGUGAUCCAGUCUCGACCCUGGCCCAUUAACCCUACAAAUUCCCAUUCCACUCAACAAACUUGUCGCAAUAUUUCAUGGAUUCCGAUCCCCGAAUGCGCGACCCAACACCCGCCGAGGUUCUAG
rnacentral:lncRNA from 1 species